UUGAACGCUGGCGGCAGGCCUAACACAUGCAAGUCGAACGGUAACAGGAAACAGCUUGCUGUUUCGCUGACGAGUGGCGGACGGGUGAGUAAUGUCUGGGAAACUGCCUGAUGGAGGGGGAUAACUACUGGAAACGGUAGCUAAUACCGCAUAACGUCGCAAGACCAAAGAGGGGGACCCUCGGGCCUCUUGCCAUCGGAUGUGCCCAGAUGGGAUUAGCUUGUUGGUGGGGUAACGGCUCACCAAGGCGACGAUCCCUAGCUGGUCUGAGAGGAUGACCAGCCACACUGGAACUGAGACACGGUCCAGACUCCUACGGGAGGCAGCAGUGGGGAAUAUUGCACAAUGGGCGCAAGCCUGAUGCAGCCAUGCCGCGUGUAUGAAGAAGGCCUUCGGGUUGUAAAGUACUUUCAGCGGGGAGGAAGGGAGUAAAGUUAAUACCUUUGCUCAUUGACGUUACCCGCAGAAGAAGCACCGGCUAACUCCGUGCCAGCAGCCGCGGUAAUACGGAGGGUGCAAGCGUUAAUCGGAAUUACUGGGCGUAAAGCGCACGCAGGCGGUUUGUUAAGUCAGAUGUGAAAUCCCCGGGCUCAACCUGGGAACUGCAUCUGAUACUGGCAAGCUUGAGUCUCGUAGAGGGGGGGUAGAAUUCCAGGUGUAGCGGUGAAAUGCGUAGAGAUCUGGAGGAAUACCGGUGGCGAAGGCGGCCCCCUGGACGAAGACUGACGCUCAGGUGCGAAAGCGUGGGGAGCAAACAGGAUUAGAUACCCUGGUAGUCCACGCCGUAAACGAUGUCGACUUGGAGGUUGUGCCCUUGAGGCGUGGCUUCCGGAGCUAACGCGUUAAGUCGACCGCCUGGGGAGUACGGCCGCAAGGUUAAAACUCAAAUGAAUUGACGGGGGCCCGCACAAGCGGUGGAGCAUGUGGUUUAAUUCGAUGCAACGCGAAGAACCUUACCUGGUCUUGACAUCCACGGAAGUUUUCAGAGAUGAGAAUGUGCCUUCGGGAACCGUGAGACAGGUGCUGCAUGGCUGUCGUCAGCUCGUGUUGUGAAAUGUUGGGUUAAGUCCCGCAACGAGCGCAACCCUUAUCCUUUGUUGCCAGCGGUCCGGCCGGGAACUCAAAGGAGACUGCCAGUGAUAAACUGGAGGAAGGUGGGGAUGACGUCAAGUCAUCAUGGCCCUUACGACCAGGGCUACACACGUGCUACAAUGGCGCAUACAAAGAGAAGCGACCUCGCGAGAGCAAGCGGACCUCAUAAAGUGCGUCGUAGUCCGGAUUGGAGUCUGCAACUCGACUCCAUGAAGUCGGAAUCGCUAGUAAUCGUGGAUCAGAAUGCCACGGUGAAUACGUUCCCGGGCCUUGUACACACCGCCCGUCACACCAUGGGAGUGGGUUGCAAAAGAAGUAGGUAGCUUAACCUUCGGGAGGGCGCUUACCACUUUGUGAUUCAUGACUGGGGUGA
rnacentral:rRNA from 1 species